AUACGUACUGCGCAAACGUUAUUCGGAAUCACUGGGCUUACAGGGUGCGUAGGCGGUUCGCCAGGUCAGAUGUGAAAUCCCACAGCUCAACUGUGGAACUGCAUUUGAAACCUGCGAACUUGAGUAGACUAGAGGUACACGGAACUUCAGGUGGAGCGGUGAAAUGUGUUGAGAUCUGAAGGAACACCAGAGGCGAAAGCGGUGUACUGGAGUCUGUCUGACGCUGAGGCACGAAAGCUAGGGGAGCGAACGGGAUUAGAAACCCCAGUAGUCC
rnacentral:rRNA from 1 species